ensembl:miRNA
GUUGGUGCAAAAGUAAUUGUGAAUUUUGCCAUUGAAGUAAUGGCAAAACCCGCAAUUACUUUUGCACCAACCU